UACGUAGGGUGCAAGCGUUGUCCGGAAUUAUUGGGCGUAAAGAGCUCGUAGGCGGUCUGUCGCGUCAGCUGUGAAAACCUGGGGCUCAACCCCGGGCCUGCAGCCGAUACGGGCAGACUAGAAUUCGGCAGGGGAGACUGGAAUUCCUGGUGUAGCGGUGGAAUGCGCAGAUAUCAGGAGGAACACCGGUGGCGAAGGCGGGUCUCUGGGCCAUUACUGACGCUGAGGAGCGAAAGCGUGGGGAGCGAACAGG
rnacentral:rRNA from 1 species